UUUUUUUGGUCCUGAUUCAGCAGGUUCAUGAGGGUCACACAAUUCACAGCACAAAGCACUGGCCUGACCUGCAGAGCCACGGAGCUGCAGGAAAGCCUUUGAUCUCUGCUGUGCCUGCCAGUUGGCCACUGCUGGGCCAGAAAUGCCUCUGCUGUUAGUGGGGAAUGGGAAUGUGAUAAAGAGGGAUUUCAGGACAUGCUCUGUGCAGAGCCUCAGCUUUCCUCUGCCUCCAGAAACCUUUGUGGCUCUGGAACCAGCUGUAUGGCAAAGCUUUCCGUAGCCACCUCCUUCCUCCAGACAUCCUACUUCUCCAUACACCACAUGAAGAAAGAAGCAAAACCAAGCCCAAAGACCCUCAGUCAAGUUGUAUUCAAACUGCUGCAGCCACAAAACGUUUCCUGGAGCUGUAUGGACAGAAUAAGGAGACACCCAUAAUUCACAUGGCUGGUGCCCUAGGGUGCCUCAGCUGCCAGCAGUGACAGUGGUGGCCAUGUCCUCCCAGUAUUGCCCAGGAUGGGGUCAGCUUGCAAGGAUGGCCACCGUGCAGUCAGCCUGCAGCAAGGAAAAUAGGCAGCAGCCUGAUUUCUGAGGUCUUGCAGAGAGCUGGCUACUUGGAAAUGGGAACUAGACCUGAUAACCCUGGACUUACUGAAGCUGCAUGCAAGUUCAUACAGACACUGCUGCUGUCCUCACCACAAGGUUCAGCAGCUUGUCAGUAGAGGCUGUGAAGGGAAAGAGAAUUGCAGCUCAACUGGAGGUGAUCAGUUCCUGACCACCUUGUGUGCUAACUCCUGCUGAGUAACGAUCCUGUUUUCUGGUUCCUUCAUCACAACAAGCACAUCAGACUCUUCACGUUGAGCACCUGCUGCUGUUCUUCAGGGAACAUUUCUUCAUAUUGGGCCGUAUUCCGUUAAAGAGACACAAAGCAGCUUGCCUAGCUGGAACCACCAAGGGGAAUGCACCAUCAGCUGAGCAGAUCCACCUCCUGAGGGCAGGCAGGAGACCAAGGUGGGACUGGUGCUGCAGGAGAGACUUGUUUGGCUCAGGCAGAGAUCUUGGGAUGUUCUGUCGUGCGCUGUUGUGUCUGCAUGUUUUAUUGGCCCAGAACUGCAAUAUCUCAUUGUUAAUGCUCAGAUUGCUCCACUCCCAUGUAGGAUUUUGUUGUCACAGCUGACCAACUUAAUGCUCUGCUCAGCAUUCCUUCUAUAACUAAAACCACUACCAGCUUGGCCUGCAAGCCUGAGUUUGGAGGGAGUGCAGCCUCAGUACUGAUGGCAUGGGGACUGCAGCUGCAUUCAUUUGCUCUGGUUCUAGUUUCUGAUAUUGCAGGGAGAUUCUCCCCUUUUCCAGGCUUCGAGCUGCCUGGGCAUUUUCUCAGCAUUUGUUCCUGCUCUGCCAGAAGUGCAAACCGAGUUUCAAGCAAGCCUCACUUCUCUUUACAUCUGUACAUCAUGAUGUUACCUACUGUUCUACUGCUCGUGUUCAGCUCCUGUGACACUGAUCGUUGUGCACAAGGCUUCUUAGCUGGAAAAAGUUUGGAGCAUGUCAGUAACCAGCUGCUUCACUAGGUUAUUUUUCUGGACAGGUGGUGCCCUGCAUUUUAAGGUUGCCUUGAGAUGCAGCAUGGAACUGGCAGCAGAAAAAUGGAGCCCAGGCAGUGGCUGGUUGGAGCUCAUCUCGGGUUCCCACUGCCUCAUGCCUCCUUCACAGUCCCUGAAGGUCUGUGCUUCCAGUGGAGGAGGUGGCACCCCAUCCCUGACAGUUCCAUCAGCUGGUCCUUUUGAUUCAGUCUGAGCUGGUGGGAAUAGCUGACCAGAGCCUGCCUCUGGGAUCUGCUUAGGACGUAACCCUUGAUUAAUGCAAACCCAAGCACCCCUGUGAAGAAAGGUUUAGAAUUCUGCCUUGUCUUCUUGAGCCAAACACCAGCUGGUGUUGGAGCGUCUGCCCAGCAUCCAUGGCACUGCUCAGCAGGGCUCAGAAACAAACCUCCUGCUAACUCCAACUCCCCAAGCUCUGAGGGGGACUCUGCUUUGGAAGUUGCAGGAUGGAGCAAAGAGUAGGACAGGCUGGAUAAGCCAUGUAAUCCCUGGGGACGUUCCUCUGCAGCAGAGUGAAUUUUGCUGUACAAAUUUUUCAGCUUUACUUGCUCUUGCAUUUUGGGGAGUCCUGUUCUCUUUUUUCUUUUUUUCUAUUUUUGUGCAAUUACUUUAGAGAUUCCUGCUGGCUUUAUGCAGAAUUUUGAAAGGAAACAAUACAUUUACUUCUGGAAGCUGAUGGUUCUUUGUAAUGGAACUGAUUUCUUGAAAUAAAACCAAUUUUCUGUUUCA